ensembl:lncRNA
GGGGGGUGGAUGGGGGGUCACUUCGUGGCUAGCUGACAGUGAACCACAAUGUGGCUGUAAUUCCAAACAGCCAAACAUCACAAGAAGUCUCUGGUGACACUCUAGGUAGACUAAAGCUAAACAUUAUCCUGUAUAUUAUAAUGCUCAUUAUGUAGAAAAAUGCUAUCAGAUAUCUGAUUCCUUCCCUUUUGAAUCUACUGGGUAAAAUAUAAUUUGAAAUAAGCAAUAGACCUUGAUCCUUACAGUGUAUCAUUCGAGAGAAUUUGCCUAAGUAAAAAAAUAAAAAAACGAAAGACUGAUUAAUGAUAGAUAUGAACCAAAUAGUCUUACUGGAUAAGCAUGUUUAAAAUGAAAUGACACAGAACAUACAUGCAGUAUUUGUGUAUACCUAUGUUGAAACCCAUAAUUAUGAACCAUGUUUUUGUCUCUGUGCAAAGAAUGAAAAAUCAUAAACAUAUCAAAAGAUAUAUCUUUACCGAUACUUGAAUUAAAGUGUGUCAAUUGUAAAAUGUGAAUUUAUUUUUUCUUCAGUUUUUGUUUGGGUCUGACACUUUCAAGUUAUUGUAUAACAUGCUCACAAGGUAUAACAUUCUUCCCGAGGAAAAAAAAAAAAAUGUGAAAAAAAAGUUUGAAUGGUUCUGUGUGUGUGCUCUCUAAUCACUGCUUCUCGUCACGGGGCGACUGUCUGCAAUUAUGAUCCAUUUAGUAUGUUGUAUUGUCUGUUAUUUGUAUGUGCCUGUUUUUUAAAAAUUGUUCCAACAUGGUUACCAUCUAGCAUUGCACUGAGUGUCUUUUUUUCCCUUGCUCAGCUAUACUAUAAAAAAAUAAAUAAAUAAAUAAAAACCUGACACCUGCAAGGGAGAUGAUGACAAUUCAUGUGUUAAUGUUUACUCAAGGACUUUAUGGAUUUAUUUUCAUCUUAAAAUGUUUGAAACAUUUAAAAUUGUAUUUUUAUAGUGGUUUCAUUGUGGAUUAAUUCCCACAAGAGUUAUCAUUUUGAAGAGUGUUGCAUCAUUUCAAUUGCAUUAUUAUUAAAAAAAAAAAAAAGAAGAAGAAAAAAAAAAAACUUUGGCCAUAGUGAGAAAGUUGGUAGAGAAGCAGUUACCUUCAUGGAUGAACAGUAAAGAUAACCAGAUAGUUAGUGAAAUUCUGACUUAUUUCAAAAGGUGCCUCUCUUCCAUUCUGUGAAAUUCUUUUUCUUUUUAAAUCUACCUGUCGUUU